AAGAACAAGCUAUUGAAGUCAAUCUUCUUAGAAUGUUAUUCGACAUGACAAUGAUUAUAUCUAUCAUAUUUCUAUGUAUGCAAACUAUGUUCAUUGCUGUCCUAAGUGAAUCAAGAAUUAAAUUGAUCUCAGCGCAACAAAAAUCUGAAUAUGACAACAUGUACGAAAAAAAGAACGCAAUUGGAACCUAUCUUGUUAGAUUUGUACGUGAAUGCGGAGUGAAGUGUUUGUCAAAUAAGCGUUGCUUAUCAUUCUUCUACAACAAUCUUACAGGAACGUGUAUUUUACACUCAGAUCCAUUCACCUAUACUGUGAUGUCUUACUCAGAGAAAGGGUGGAAAUUUUACAUUUCACAAGAACGUGCUGGUCGCUGUUUGGUCAAUUUUUUCUACUACAGAGAACUGGACUUGUGUUAUAAAUUGGAAAAGCCAAUUAAAGCAUCUGUUGUUCAUGAAGAUUUCGUGUGUCCAGGAAGUGAGCUCAUGCGUAUAGAUUCCAAUGAAAGACAAGAUUAUAUCAAGCUUGUUACAGCUGACAUUGGAAGAGUGUACCGUAAUGGAAUCUGUAUACAAGGUAAAAAGACACAAGGUAAAUGGAAUUACAACGAUGGAUCUACAAUGGAGUAUUUCAGGUGGCAACCAGAUCAACCAAGGGGAUCAUCUAACGUUAUCCGCAUGAUUCUGUCGCGAAACUACUUGUGGAUGACUUUUGAUAGUGGAAAUUGUACCUAUAUGUGUGAAUAUCGAUCACAGAAUUAAAGAUGGUGGCGCUGUCAAUAUAAAGAAAAAGUUUACUUCACUUUUCUACUUCUCUAUUUCAUACUAAUCAUAAGAAUUAAUGUAGAAUAUACUGAUCUAUAAAAUAUAUCUAUUAUACCCUAUUCAUAGACCGAAAUAAACAAGCUGUUAUCUUUGGUAAAUUGGGUACACUUAAUUAGUUAAAAAAAAUACUCUUUUAUCAAAAUUCAUCAAUUUGAAUUACAAUGCAAAAGUGUUUUAAUUCAAAACCGUAUCACUAUUUAAUUGCACGUGAUCAUAGUAAUUGUACAUUCUGUUUUGCUUUUGUGUAAGGUUUUUGCUCUUUGUGGUUGAGCGUUUCAAAUCAAGAUUUCUAUGUCUGUGAUCAUAUUGAUAACUGCUACUUACUUCUUAUUUUGGUGUUAAGCUUGUGUGUCCUAUGGAUACGCUAUUAUAUCUUACAAUCACAAUUACAAUUAGAUAAGCAGAAAUCUGAAUUUCUUACUUUUGUACAAUGUCCGGAUUUCAUGGCUUCAAGGUUGUUGUAUAAACUUUAUUCUGUAUUGCUGUCUCUAGAAGAACAAGUGUAGAAUUCAUAUAUAAAGUAAUAAAUUUGUAGAUAAAACUU